UACCCCAAACUACUAAACGGAAAACUAACAGAGUUAUUGUCACCGGGGCCCGGGGUGGACCAUCGGAAACCUUCCCUCCCCGUAAUAGCCCGUUUUCUAGGUUAAAAGGGUGUGUGUACGUGUAUGUUCUCGGUGUAAAAGGUUUAGGGUCAGCAGUCUCGAGCGAGGGAAGAAGGGGGUUUAGGGAGCGCGUCGGUGUGAGGGGAGGGAUGACUGUGUAAACUCGAACUCGAUCCCAAAGAGUGGUGGCCGCCGCCCUACCCGUAGGAGCUCGUGUCGGUUUUAAGGAGAGGCGCUGCCGUACCCGUAGUCCUUUACUGGAGUGACGGAUAGGGGCUGCUGGAGGACGGACUUUAGAAGGAGGCGGACGGGUGGGGCACGCUGGAGUAGGCUCGGAGGCGGCAGACGCGGAGGAAGGCGGCGCAGCAGCAGCUGGCGGGGAAGGAGGCCUCCAUGGUGUUCGAGGUAAGGGGCGGGGAGUAGCCGAAGGAGCUAAAAGCGGCUCAGAAGGUGGGCCGGCUUGGCGGAGUGGGGAGGCGCAGACGUCGGUUUCGGCAGCGGGAGCGGCGACUGAAGUGGAACAGGAAGGAGGGAUGGGGUCGGCCACUGACCUGGUAAAGCCUGUAGACGCCGCCAGAACAGGAGGAGUUCUCCGCGCUGACACGCCUCGACCACCACACGCUGGGGAACGUGGCCGCCGUGGAGGACGAAGGGGGUUAGGGACUUAAGCUGCUCACCCAAGUAAGUCACCUGUUCGGUGCGUGCAAACCCACAGUCUAGGAGGACCACCCGCCACUGCUCCUCCGAAGUCUCCUCCGUAAAAAGUCUCACUAUAUACACCUUAAGUGGGAUGUACUCCUUCGGCAGAAGCAGAAGAGAAGGUCGUGGCCUCUUACCGCUCGAUGAGGAAGCCGUGGUGCUAGCGGAAUGAGUACGACCGAGGUCAUACGUAUACCGACGAACAUACCCCACUGUCAAGAGUGAGUAUCUGGAGGGUGGGCGUCGGUCUCGGUCGAGAAGAGUACACGCAUAUCGGUAACACCUCCGUCCCCUCCCGUAGUAACCCUACAAACACGAUGGUUUACUCUGUAGAGUGGAGUCAAUAAAGCAAUCCGCUUUUUUCCACGUUCAAGGUCGGUCACCUUCAACUUCUGUUAGAGUGACCUAAGAAGGGUCAUGAGAAAGUUCCACUCUAGCUGCCCCUCCUUGAACAAGGAUGUUGUAACGUCUUUAGGUAGUGGACUACGGCCGGAAAAGAGUUACCUGUAGUUGUGUAAGGUCGAACUCUCCCACAAACCAAGGUUGAUAUCGUACGAAAUGGGAACCCGUAUAUUGUUGAAAGGUGAUAGUAACAGCUGAGGUCGUCAUAGUUCACCAUGAGUCGUUUUACUACUCUUCCUCUACGACCUUGUUCCACGCCUCCGCGACGUCCGACUUCUCGGGUAUCCAUCGGGGGUACGGCUCUCUUGACUACUACUACGCUUACGACCUCCAGUCCGGCCACAUAGUUCCUGACCCCUACUACGACUAACUCCAAUACGACACUGCAUGACCUAUCAACUGAUGUCCAACUAGCGGUUAUCCCAUGAACACUGAUACGUACAGGCAUGACACCAGUAGAUUUUAAUUGUACCUCAAAUAAAACACACCGAACUAGACUGUUACUAGCCACGCCAACAGUCCAUUCCAUCGUUCUCGUCAUUAUUUGUAAACUAAAGACGUGUUACUCAUCCAAUUAAUACUGACAGUCUCUAACACUAGAACUACAUACGGAAGGGGUACGCCGUACUUACCUUGGUCAGUCCGUGUUCCUUUAGUUCCCUUCCUUAGACAAAC
rnacentral:rRNA from 1 species